CACUAUCAUGCCCUGAGGGUGCCCCGACCCUCAGGGUCCCCCUCCUGUGGUGCUGAAUGGGGUUACAACCCCUUCAGCUACUUACCUUAAUCCAGCGCCGGGCUCCCUCGGCGCUGGUGACCUCUCCUUCCUGUUCGACGUCAGCUCCCCCGUCCAACAUCACUGGAGCCGAACGCGCAUGCGCGGCAAGUGCCGUGUGCGCAUUCAAUGUGUCCAUAGAAAAGCAUUUCUCAAUGCUUUCCUAUGGACGUUCUGCGCGAUGGAGUCGAAAUUCGCCUCCAGCGUCGCAGAUGCGCCUCUAGUGGCUGUCCGGAAGACAGCCACUAGAGGCUGGAUUAACCCCAAAUGUAAACUUAGCAGUUAACUGUUAUGUUUACAUGUGAAGG